rnacentral:rRNA from 1 species
CAGAGGUCUCAAGCGUUGUUCGGAUUCAUUGGGCGUAAAGGGUGUGUAGGUGGCGCCGUAAGUCGGGUGUGAAAUUUCGGAGCUUAACUCCGAAACUGCAUUCGAUACUGCGGUGCUUGAGGACUGGAGAGGAGACUGGAAUUCAUGGUGUAGCAGUGAAAUGCGUAGAGAUCAUGAGGAAGACCAGUGGCGAAGGCGGGUCUCUGGACAGUUCCUGACACUGAGACACGAAGGCCAGGGGAGCAAACGGG